rnacentral:sRNA from 1 species
CCUUCCUUCCUUCUUUCCUUUUUGAGAGAAGGUCUCUCUGUAUGGCCCAGGCUGGCCUUGAACCUGUGAACCUCUUGACUCUUACCGAGUGCCGAGAUUGCUUAUGUGCACCACUGUGCCUGGCUUCCAUGAUCUCUAGAGACCCUUCCUAAAGAUUUUUUCUAUAUUACUACUAGCGACCAUGGGGACUUCCCUGGUCGGGGCAGCUGCUGGGGACUGGGGAGAUGUACAGAGGCUGUACAGAACUGGCCCUGCUCCUCACCGGCUACUGGGCUUUGGAGAGCUGGCCCCACCUCUUACCAUGGGCAACCCUGGGAAGAGUGAGCCCUGUGCUUUGCCUGAACAGUGCAGCAGAGUUGACCCUGGUGGUCGGGGUGCAGGGGAACCAGCACCAAGGGUGAGAGCAUGGAAGAGCUGGUCUGACCACUCCUCUGCCACAAGAUGGUGUGGGAUAGGGCAAUGCCCUUCCUUGCUUCCUCCCUUGCUACUUGGGGCAGUUGGGAGAGCUGGCCCUGGGAUCAUGAGAUCAAGUGAGCUGGCCCUACCUUUUUACUAGCUGCAGCACUCAGGAGAGUAAGCCUGUGUCCUUCUCACCUAGUAUGCUGACCCUGGUAGAGAGAGCAUGGGUGAACUGGCUUGAGCUAGCCUUUUUUCCUGCCAAUGAUGGCAUUGGGUAGCCUACCCAGAGCAGUACUGGAGAACUCACCUUGGUGGUGUGGAUAAGGAAAAGGUGACAGGCUGACCAGUUUAGUUACCACCCAGACCCAGAUCCAGAAUUCAGAGUUGGCCUGUCCCCAAAUCUAUGUUAUAUGUGAGCGGUUGGGCCAGUCCUGCUGACCCAAAACUGCAGGAUCUCCAUGACACAGGGCAACAGCAAGAUGAUGGGGAAGAGUCCCCAUGCUGGUCCAAUAUUGAUGGUGUUAUGGAAACCAAAGACCUUGAGAGGAUGGGGAGAUGAGGAGGACUGGGGUGCAUGAUGUGAAACUAACAAAAAAUCAAAAAGUUUUAAAAAACAAAAUAUAAAAAUGAAAGAUACAAGACUUCCAAACUGACAUUCACGGCCAUCAUCACCAUCACCACCACCAUCAUCACCAUCAUCAUCAUCUCUAUUGAUGUCAUUGGAUAUCAUGAUAAUCAUCACCACCAUCAUCAUCACGAUCACUAUCCUCUCCAUUGAUGUCAUUGUCAUCAUCAUUUGGUAAUUUCAGAAUCAUAGAAUCAUACAUCUCCCACAUGAGAGUCUUCUAGUGUGGGUGAUUCAUCUCAUGGGAAUCUGGCGUCAGUUCAGAAGAGACUACUUCUGGGUAUUUAGCAGCCAAGGCUAUGAUUUCAACAGCUGAAAACGGCGUGCCCACUAUAAUACAAUAUGUCAAAGCGAUCGUAAGUUUUAUAACAAUAAUAAUGUUAACUGUUAUAUCAUUUGACUGUGAAUUUCGCCUAGUAAUCUGGUCAGCACACAAAGUGAAUUGACACCACAUGCUGCAAAGAAAAUAAUCUACAAGGACCUUUCGGUAACCUGUCAGUCACUCUCCCAAUGGGCACGUUCAAAGCAGCUAAGGAUGUCUGUAGAGUGCUUCUUCAGAGAGCCCUUACAGAAGCUAGUCUGCUUUUGAUGGAUGAACACUUUCCCCAGGGCCAUGGAGUGACUAAUGCUUGGCCUAACAUCUGGUCCUCUUCGCAGCCAGUUUUCUUUUCUACAUAAAGAACCAACUCCUUCAUCCCACUCUGGAUUCCUUUCCAAGUUGCUGUGGGUCUCAUGGCCCUCACUGGCUGGUUUAGAUGAAUCAUCCAGCACUGAAGAGCUGUCACACACCCCUACUUAAGAGGAGAUCCCUGUAGAAUCUGCCUUCUCAGAAUCCUCUCUUUUUUAUGUUCGUUUUGCCUAAUCAAAGGGUCAGAAUUUUGCUUGUGCCUAUUCAUGAUGAUCUCCGAAACUUUAUCAGGACUUUAUCAGGAGGUUCAUAGAAAUGGCCUUUUAAUACAUUUAUUUUCUAAUAGAGAUAUGGAUAGAAUUUAAAAGUCAAAUUCAUUUGCUAGUGUCAAUAAUAGAGCCAGCCCAACUCUGGAACUCAACUUUUUACUCUUGCUUCCUGGUCCUCAAGGUAAACACUGUCUAGUCUUUCAAAUAUGUCUUCUAUCUCUUGGAAAAUAUAUUUUAUGUUCCUGUUUUCAAAUGUUCAGUUUCCUAUACUGUGUAUUGACUCUCCCUUCUGAAAUACAAUUUCUUAGCUCCUGACUUUGCACUCACUCUAAGGUACUCAUGUACACAACUCAUCCUGUCAUCCCUCAGGGCUGUCUAUCAGAUACCUGUUACUGCACACAAGUUACUGCAGAAGCUAGCGCCAUGAAGGAACAAACAUUUACUCUUGUCCUAUUGAUGUGGGACGGGGACAUGGAUCAUUUAACUGAGCAGUCCUGGUUCAGACUCCUCCAUGAACUUGAAGACGCCUGAGGAUUCUUAGUGCGUCUGCGAGCCCCUUUGACUUGUAAGGGACAUCCACAGGUUCCCAUCACUCUCCCCACUAUGACUGUGGGCUCAUCAGUCAUGUUCUGCAACAUGUGUCAGAGCCAAUCAAAAUCACGGCUCCUUUCUCUGCAGCUUUUCUAUUCUCUUUGGUGCUAAACUUGUGUCUCUUUCCCCAUGUGCUUACUUUUAGGGUUCUGAUCAUCAGUCCUUCCGUGAGCUGUGAACAAAGCCGGCAUUCGUCCCUAACCGUACCAGCUCCAUCCUCUCCCUAGCUAUAGUCCUCGAGUCUCUCUUCUUCCUGUUUGGAUUCGUCUCCAUGGGCUUACAGCACAGACACUGUCUUGGGAUUUUCCACCAUUCUUAUCCAAAGGUUUCAUUUUCCUAACACUUGCUUUUUACAUUUUGAUUUCUUUUUCCGUUAAUAGGUAUCGACUGCAUGUAUUAGUGGGGCCUGAUGUGAUGUUCAGCUCAUGCAUACAGCAUGUCUGUACCAGCUUGUCUCCUCAUCCCACUUUCCCUUCCGCCCACCCUAGCACUCUGGAAGUCACGAUUCAACUUUGACACUUUUAAAGUUUCCACAAACGAGAGCAUCCACAGGGUGGUAUGGUAUGCCCAUUGUGUGACAGGAAUCCAUUCGUCUUUAUGGCUAUGUAACAUUCAAUUACACACACACACACACACACACACACACACACACACACACACACACCACCUUCCUUCACCGAUUCCUGGGCAGUCAAGUUGACUCCAUAGCUUAGAUAACUGUAAAAAGGCACUUCGGUAAAUUACACAGGCACCGGCAUGCAGGUACCUGGUGUGUAGAUUUGUUUCCUCUGCACAUAUAGCCUGAAGUGAGGUAGUUGGAUCACAGGAUUUUCCACAGUGGCUGAACCAACUUACAUUUUUCUGCCAGCAGUGUUUGAGAGUUCUGUAUCUUCACCAGCAUUUACCCUUCUAACCUUUUGCCAAUAACCACUUUACCGGGAAUGAGAUGGUACCUCACCAUCGUUUUGACUUUCAUUUCUCUGAAAUUUAAAAUUGGAUAUUUAAAAAUACCACUGUUGGUCAUUCUGCAUUUCUUUAUUUGAAAAAUAAAUGUCUGUUGGGAUCCUGUGGCCAUUUUUAGAUGCAAAUUCUUUGUGGGUUUCGUUAUCUCUUGUUGCCGUUGUUACUAAGUUCUCUGAGCAUCCUCUAGACUCUGGAUAUAAAUCCUUUGGCGGGUGAACAGCGGGCGACUCCCUGGUUCUGGACCACAGGGCGUGGAUGCUCGUAGAGCUGCUUCAGUGGCCUUUCUGCCAAGUUGACUUUCGUUGGUGGGGAACAUGGAAAUUGGAGGGAGAGGAGAUGAUGUAGGGGUAUCUUUUCUCCAGAUUGGUCCUCGCUGGGUGGACACGCCCCCUGUUUCUGACGUCAGGACUCAGCUUCCCACUCUUCCAUCCUCCGGCUACUCCCACGGUCCACGAGCAGGUUCCUUGCGCUUCCGUUACUGGCUUCUUUGGGGCUGGUGAGGUAGGAUACCUGUGUCCAACAGGAUACACAGAGCAGGUUUCUUACCUGCCAGUAGGCAGCAAGGGACAAGAUAAAUCUAGAAUUCAUUGCUAGCCGGUUCUCCAAGGCUCGGGGGCUGUCUGAGGUAGCUAGCAUAGUCAUUGGUCCUAAAGGACCCCAGCAAGGCCUAUCCUGGGAAUUUUCUACCCAACAUAACCUUCCAUUUUGCAGUAAGAGGUUCAUUCUGCCCAAGCUGCCAUGAGGUAAACAGCUUCCUCCGACACACUCUCCACUGUGAUUCUCGAGUGACUCUUACGGCAGAAAGCACUUUGCUGAGGAUAAUUGACUGUGUUCCAGGACUACCUGUAAAACAGAAACAUUGUAACAGAAGAGAACACUGCCCGGUGCUGGGAAUGCUGUCCCGGACAGAGUUCAGCUUCUACUAUUGCAGCUCAAGUAGUCUGACCAUUUGAAAAGCACAGUAACGGAGUCCUAGUCAAACUCACAAGGUUCUCCAUGGGCAGCAGAGACCCCAGGGACGUCAAGGAGAGCGAAUACUGUUCUCCUGCCUUUGAUGGAACCAAACAGAGCAAUCGAUGCUUCAUGAUUUUCAUAAACUGGGGGACCAGCAGACACCUGAGCUCCUGGUGGAGGAUUCUAGUAGCUCCAGAUGAAUCCUGAGGCAGCAGGAUCUUUGGCUCUCAAGAACAAUCUAGAACAUGUUCACCUGAAGGUGCAUCUGCUGUGGGAAGGAAGGCUCCCGAGUCCAAUGUGGGUAGAUCCUGAAGAAGACUCCAGAGACAGGGUGUUGAGGAAGGAGAGGUGUCUACAUAAGCUCCCCCAUGAAGCAGAGAGCCCUGAGGUGAUGAAGAGGGAGUGACUAAUGACAGGAGUAUUUCCCAGCCUCACCCUGCCUUCAUCACUGGGAUGCUAAGCCCAGGCUUUAAGGAACAGAUCCACUUAAAGGUCCUUGGGGUUCAGAAAAGUCUAGCUUGGACCGCACUGAAAAGAUAGAAUUGGAAACAGGCAGCCCCUAUUCAAAUUCACUUUGUAUGCAGCAGACUGCCCUAUUUUGGACUGGUGCUCAGAGGAGCACCAGCCGUGGAUGGCUGAUCUUCUAUCCAGUGUGGUAGAAAGAAUGCCCGUUCUCCAGCCUACUCAUAGCUAGAAGCACUUCCACACUCCCCAGGAUUGGAGACACACUCUGGGCCUAACACAGGACCUCUCUGUAUUAUUAGGAUACAUGUCCCUCGAGAUACCUAGUUAUAUUUGAUGCUUGAUUCUCCUGCACAGUGCCCCUGUACUGAGGACCAGCUUCCUGGGGGACAUUCUUGUUUUUCAGACAGUUCAUUUCUACUACAUAAGGUGGUUUUCAGCCCCACCAUUCCCUCAGUUGUUGUCUGAUCAGUGGAGGACAGAACAUACCAGUGCUCGACUAUGAAACAGAUGUCUAGUGACUGGAGGCAUGUGGCUCAUUCCCUCAUGUCUUCUCUUAACCAGGAAUCCGGUUGCCCAUUUGAUUUGGUUUAGCUUGGAUGUAAGUUCUCUCACCACGCUGCAGUUCUCCCUAGGCUAUGUUGCUGGUGGGAUAGCAAUAUUAGCAACACGUACAUCACCGUGACCGAAAUGCUUGUGCUGCCCAAGGUGUCAGAAUUUAAAAUAAAGAUGGGAACAAACCUCUGGCAAUGUCUUGUAAGUGAACUUCUAGAUUAGAUUAAUGUAGAUGAGAAGACCUACUCUAAAUGUAGGCAGUACCAGUCCACGGACUAGAGUCCCGAGCUUGAUAAAGAGAAGGAAACAGGGCUGGACAGAUGGCUCCAUGGUUAAGAGCAUUUGCUGCCACUGCAAGGGGUCAAGGUAUUGUUCAAAUCACCUACAUGGUGGCUCACAACCACCUGUAACUUCCAGAGAAUCUAACACCCUCUUCUGACCUCUA